UACGGAGGGUGCAAGCAUUAAUCGGAUUCAUUGGGCGUAAAGGGUGCGUAGGUGGCGCCGUAAGUCGGGUGUGAAAUUUCGGAGCUUAACUCCGAAACUGCAUUCGACUACUGCCUUUGCUUGAGGACUGGAGAGGAGACUGGGAAUUCACGGUGUAGCAGUGAAAUGCGUAGAGAUCGUGAGGAAGACCAGUGGCGAAGGCGGGUCUC
rnacentral:rRNA from 1 species